rnacentral:rRNA from 1 species
UACGGGGGGGGCAAGCGUUGUUCGGAAUUACUGGGCGUAAAGGGCUCGUAGGUGGCCAACUAACUCGGACGUGAAAUCCCCAGGCUCAACCUGGGAACUGCGUCUGAUACUGGAUGGCUUGAAUUCGGGAGAGGGAUGCAGAAUUCCAGGUGUAGCGGUGAAAUGCGUAGAUAUCUGGAGGAAUACCGGUGGCGAAGGCGGCAUCCUGGACCGACAUUGACGCUGAGGAGCGAAAGCUAGGGGAGCAAACGGG